rnacentral:rRNA from 1 species
GAUGGCGACCGGGGCACGGGUGAGUAACACGUAUCCAACCUGCCGUCUACUCUUGGACAGCCUUCUGAAAGGAAGAUUAAUACAAGAUGGCAUCAUGAGUCCGCAUGUUCACAUGAUUAAAGGUAUUCCGGUAGACGAUGGGGAUGCGCUCCAUUAGAUAGUAGGCGGGGUAACGGCCCACCUAGUCUUCAAUGGAUAGGGGUUCUGAGAGGAAGGUCCCCCACAUUGGAACUGAGACACGGUCCAAACUCCUACGGGAGGCAGCAGUGAGGAAUAUUGGUCAAUGGGCGAGAGCCUGAACCAGCCAAGUAGCGUGAAGGAUGACUGCCCUAUGGGUUGUAAACUUCUUUUAUAAAGGAAUAAAGUCGGGUAUGUAUACCCGUUUGCAUGUACUUUAUGAAUAAGGAUCGGCUAACUCCGUGCCAGCAGCCGCGGUAAUACGGAGGAUCCGAGCGUUAUCCGGAUUUAUUGGGUUUAAAGGGAGCGUAGAUGGAUGUUUAAGUCAGUUGUGAAAGUUUGCGGCUCAACCGUAAAAUUGCAGUUGAUACUGGAUAUCUUGAGUGCAGUUGAGGCAGGCGGAAUUCGUGGUGUAGCGGUGAAAUGCUUAGAUAUCACGAAGAACUCCGAUUGCGAAGGCAGCCUGCU